rnacentral:lncRNA from 1 species
CCUCCAGAUGUCUCUGCCCCUCUCCAGUCUGCUGUAGGAAAACACAAAGAAUUAGAUUUAAGGAUAUGUUUCUCACUUUUUGCUUUUAGGAACCUGAUGAAAUUGUAGCUGCCUUUGCCUCUUCUUCCCUGAAGCCUCAUCUAGCCAUAGCUGAGAUAGCAAAGAAUGUUUUUGUCAUUGGGAAGAUACAGAGGGAAGGUGGUCUGCGGCUGAAGCCUGAUCGUUUGGCUGUAGUUGGUGGUGGCUUCACAGAAGAUACACCAGCAAGACUAGAACAUAUAGCACUCUAAAAAAAAAAAAAAAAAAAAGUCAGCUACUCAGGAAGCUAUCAAAUGGAUCCCAAGAAUGUGGACAUUCUGACCCAGCUCAUUCAGAUUCACUUAUCUCACAAUAAAAAGCCUAGCUGGAAUACACCAGCUGUACAGAAGAAGAUAAAUAGUUCAGAUGUCUAUUUGGAACCACUAUGAGCCUUGGCAAAGCUAGAAAGUACCACAACCCUGGCUCCCAAAUCAAGAGUCAAGUGCUCCUGUGAAAGAGCUCAUGCAGAAAGCCAGCCAGCAGUAGAAGAGGCUAAGAAUAUUGAAAGGAAAAAAGAUGUAACUAGACAGGUAAAUAUUGC